UUGAACGCUGGCGGCAUGCCUUACACAUGCAAGUCGAGCGGCAGCGCGGGGGGCAACCCUGGCGGCGAGCGGCGAACGGGUGAGUAAUGCAUCGGAACGUGUCCUCUUGUGGGGGAUAACCAGUCGAAAGACUGGCUAAUACCGCAUGAGAUCGCAAGAUGAAAGCAGGGGACCGCAAGGCCUUGCGCGAGAGGAGCGGCCGAUGCCGGAUUAGCUAGUUGGUGAGGUAACGGCCCACCAAGGCGACGAUCAGUAGCCGGCCUGAGAGGGUGAAACGGCCACACUGGAACUGAGACACGGUCCAGACUCCUACGGGACGGCAGCAGUGGGGAAUUUUGCGCAAUGGGCGAGAGCCUGACGCAGCAACGCCGCGUGGAGGAUGAAGGCCUUCGGGUCGUAAACUCCUGUCAGGGGGGACGAAACCGGGAAACCGGGUGACUGUACCCCCGGAGGAAGCCACGGCUAACUCCGUGCCAGCAGCCGCGGUAAUACGGAUGGUGGCAAGCGUUGUUCGGAAUUACUGGGCGUAAAGGGCGCGUAGGCGGCAUGGCAAGUCAGGUGUGAAAGCCCCGGGCUUAACUCGGGAACUGUAUCUGAAACUGCUUUGCUUGAGUCCUGGAGGGGGUAGUGGAAUUCCCAGUGUAGCGGUGGAAAUGCGUAGAUAUUGGGGAGGGACCACCGGUGGCGAAGGCGGCUACCUGGACAGUGACUGACGCAUGAGGCGCGAAAGCUAGGGGAGCGACGGGAUUAGAUACCCCGGUAGUCCUAGCUGUAAACGAUGGGCACUUGGUGUCGGGGUGGUAUUGAGUCCCUCGGUGCCGGAGUUAACACGGUUAAGUGCCCCGCCUGGGGAGUACGGUCGCAAGACUGAAACUCAAAGGAAUUGACGGGGGCCCGCACAAGCGGUGGCAGCAUGUGGUUCAAUUCGACGCAACGCGAAGAACCUUACCGGGGCUCGAACGGUAGCUGCGACCUUUGGAAACAGAGGGUCCUCUUCGGAGGCGGCUAUCGAGGUGCUUGCAUGGCUGUCGUCAGCUCGUGUCGUGAGAUGUUGGGUUAAGUCCCGCAACGAGCGCAACCCUUGCCCUUAGUUGCCAACAGGUGAAGCUGGGCACCCUAAGGGAACUGUCGGCGAAAGCCGGAGGAAGGUGGGGGAUGACGUCAAGUGCCUCAUGGCCCUUACGUCCCUGGGCUACAACACGUGCUACAAUGGUCGGUACAAAGGGUUGCCAACCCGCGGAGGGGGAGCUAAUCCCAAAAAGCCCGAUCUCAGUUCGGAUUGCAGUCUGCAACUCGACUGCAUGAAAGGCGGAAUCGCUAGUAAUCGCAGAUCAGCAUGCUGUACGGUGAAUACGUUCCCGGGCCUUGUACACACCGGCCCGAUCUACAUCACGAAAGUGGGGUUGUACUAGAACAUCGCCUGAGGCCGACCAGCAAGGGGGGGCAGGCGCUUAAGGUAUGAUCCAUGAUUUGGGGUG
rnacentral:rRNA from 1 species